CCUUAGAGUUUGAUCCUGGCUCAGGAUGAACGCUAGCUACAGGCUUAACACAUGCAAGUCGUGGGGCAGCAUGAAGUCAGCUUGCUGACUUUGAUGGCGACCGGCGCACGGGUGAGUAACGCGUAUCCAACCUGCCCCAUACUCAGGGACAGCCCGUCGAAAGGCGGAUUAAUACCUGAUGUUAUUGUUUGAAGGCAUCUGAUAACAAUCAAAGAUUUAUCGGUAUGGGAUGGGGAUGCGUCUGAUUAGCUUGUCGGCGGGGUAACGGCCCACCGAGGCGACGAUCAGCAGGGGUUCUGAGAGGAAGGUCCCCCACACUGGAACUGAGACACGGUCCAGACUCCUACGGGAGGCAGCAGUGAGGAAUAUUGGUCAAUGGAUGAGAAUCUGAACCAGCCAAGUAGCGUGCAGGAUGACGGCCCUAUGGGUUGUAAACUGCUUUUAUACGGGAAUAAAUGACGACACGUGUGUUGUUUUGUAGGUACCGUAUGAAUAAGGACCGGCUAAUUCCGUGCCAGCAGCCGCGGUAAUACGGAAGGUCCGGGCGUUAUCCGGAUUUAUUGGGUUUAAAGGGAGCGUAGGCCGGCGCUUAAGCGUGCCGUGAAAUGUCCCGGCUCAACCGGGGCACUGCGGCGCGAACUGGGUGCCUUGAGUGCGCGGAACGUAUGCGGAAUUCGUGGUGUAGCGGUGAAAUGCUUAGAUAUCACGAAGAACUCCGAUUGCGAAGGCAGCAUACGGCAGCGUAACUGACGCUGAAGCUCGAAGGUGCGGGUAUCGAACAGGAUUAGAUACCCUGGUAGUCCGCACGGUAAACGAUGAAUACUCGCUGUUGGCGAUAGACAGUCAGCGGCCACGCGAAAGCAUUAAGUAUUCCACCUGGGGAGUACGCCGGCAACGGUGAAACUCAAAGGAAUUGACGGGGGCCCGCACAAGCGGAGGAACAUGUGGUUUAAUUCGAUGAUACGCGAGGAACCUUACCCGGGCUCAAACGCAUGAGGACAGUCCCUGAAAGGGGAUCUUCUUCGGACCUUAUGCGAGGUGCUGCAUGGUUGUCGUCAGCUCGUGCCGUGAGGUGUCGGCUUAAGUGCCAUAACGAGCGCAACCCCUAUCGACAGUUGCUAACAGGUUAAGCUGAGGACUCUGUCGAGACUGCCGGCGCAAGCUGUGAGGAAGGUGGGGACGACGUCAAAUCAUCAUGCCCCUUACGUCCUGGGCCACACACGUACUACAAUGGCGGCCAACAAAGAGAGGCAAAGCCGCGAGGUGGAGCAAAUCUCAAAAAGCCGUCCCAGUUCGGAUCGCAGGCUGCAACCCGCCUGCGUGAAGUUGGAAUCGCUAGUAAUCGCGGAUCAGCAUGCCGCGGUGAAUACGAAAGCGGGCCUUGCACACACCGCCCGUCAAG
rnacentral:rRNA from 1 species